rnacentral:rRNA from 1 species
CCUACGGGGGGCACCAGUGGGGAAUAUUGCACAAUGGGGGAAACCCUGAUGCAGCAACGCCGCGUGAGUGAAGAAGUAUUUCGGUAUGUAAAGCUCUAUCAGCAGGGAAGAUAAUGACGGUACCUGACUAAGAAGCCCCGGCUAACUACGUGCCAGCAGCCGCGGUAAUACGUAGGGGGCAAGCGUUAUCCGGAUUUACUGGGUGUAAAGGGAGCGUAGGCGGCUUGGCAAGUCUGAUGUGAAAGCCCAGGGCUCAACCCUGGGACUGCAUUGGAAACUGUCAGGCUAGAGUGCAGGAGAGGUAAGUGGAAUUCCUAGUGUAGCGGUGAAAUGCGUAGAUAUUAGGAGGAACACCAGUGGCGAAGGCGGCUUACUGGACUGUAACUGACGCUGAGGCUCGAAAGCGUGGGGAGCAAACAGGAUUAGAUACCCGUGUAGUC